rnacentral:lncRNA from 1 species
GGUAUACGAGCGGUUUUUUGAAGUUUUCAACCAGUUUUUCGAAGAGUCUGAACCACUUUUUGAAGUUUUGAACCAGUGUUUUGAAGAGUCUGGAGGGCAACUCUAUGGACCAGGAAUCGCUGAUUAGCAUAUUAAUGCGAUGGAAAUUGCGACCUGCACCUUUCCCGCCGCACGACAAAUGCACACUGGAGACGCCUCGGUGAAAUGCUUGGACCAGGCAUAAUAUGACAUGUAUCUUAAUGAAAAAAUUUAGGAAGACUGCUGAAAUAUAUAACAAUAAAACC